GUGACUGAGACAUGAUGCUCAU
rnacentral:miRNA from 1 species